UUUAUUUUUUUAUGGCUUGACACCCUUGUAUGUUGCCCCUGCCUUUUAACUGAUUCCUUCUGCACCUUCUGGAUGGAGAAGGCUUGAAACCUUGAACUUACAUAAAGAUUUGUAAAUAUGGAGGAUGCUUGGCAGAAGUUAUUAGAACACACAUUAAGAAACCACAACUACAUGCCAUGGCAGCAAUUACUUGACUGGCUUUCCACAGAAGAAUUUCCUCACAUUGCAUGAUUACUUUGAGACUGUCGCCAGAAGAUUCAUACAAAGGUACUUCUGCCAUCCUUAGGACAAGCUAAAAUAACCAACUGGAAAUUGAGUUCACGGCUAAUGUUGGUUUGAUUUGCGGACAGCUGCCAGGUCUCUUACUAUAUGUUCUCUUUUAGAUGAGAUAGUUGCACCCAUUUUCAUAGAUCUUCCAUGUAAGUAAGGCCCAAUUGGAAAGAGUUGAUUAGUGAAUAAUUAGGUAAUAAAUUAAACUAAACAGUCGACCAAAGCAUGAGGUUUCCAUGUGAUUGAUGAUAGAGAUGGGUUUAGAAUCAAUUUUUGUCAUCCCUUUAAUUUUAUGGAACAAAGCCCUAAUUAAUAACACUAAUGCAAUUGCUAAUUGGUGGCUUAAUGUCAAUGCCUUCUUUCUCACUUUGUUAAUUUUUAAUACUGUAAAAGAAUCUGAGUUUGCAAGGACUUCUCGAGAAUUCACGAAUCUUUUAUUGUUAUCUUCAUAGUCUCUUCAGAAUUAACUCUUCGAAAGUUGGACCUACAAGGUGUAAAUCAUUGUGAUUGGAAAUUGUGGGCACAUGCUAUCCAUAGUUGGGAAUUGAUGUAUUGGUUUAUGAUAAGCAAUAUCAAUUUAUAUUAUAUGGUUGAUGUUCUGCUUCUGCUGCUUAAUAUGUCUGAUGCUAUACUGAAUUCAUUUGACAUCCUUUGGGAAAAUUACUAUAACAUAUAAUUUUAAAGUUAAUUAAAAUGUUUUUUUAUUUGGUUCUUUUGUGAGGAAUUUUAUAGUCAAUCAGUUAAAAGAGAGUACAAUUUCAAAUUUUAAAACUAUGCUUCUCCUUCAAAAUCUUCACUUGUUUAUCCUCAUUUAAUAAAACCACCAAUCCAAAACUAGCUGAACUCUCCCACCUCCACCUUGUUCUCCUAUCUCUGGAUUCUUCUCUUUGAUUUGAGAUUCGCAACUAGUAGUCUUAAUGGGUCAUAGCCAACUUUUUGUCCAGAUUUCUUCAAUUUAUAGGUUUUAUUUUGUUGAUUUUGUCAUGUAAAGCAAUACAGCUCUGCUGAUAACAUUGUGCAUUGCACUCCCAGGUAGAGGAGAAUAUGCGAUUAAGGACUGAACUUCAGAAAAAAAUUCAGGAACUUGAAAAAUACGUACUAAACCUGGAGAAUAUGGACAAAACCAGGCAUUGAAAAAUCGUGGGCUGUAGCGCAUACACAGGGGAGGGGUUGCUUGAGGGAUUUGAUUGGUUGGUUCAGGACAUGAUGAUACCUUAGGAUCUAGUCAACAUUAAGCAAUAGAGUUAGGUUUUUUUAUUGGCCCUCUUAGAGAACUGAUUAAGGUCCAUUUGUACUGUUUUAUUAACUAUCUUAUUGUUGUGGAAUUUAGUCAAGCUGUGAAUUCGACAAAAAAAAAAAGUGAAGCUGUGAAACUUUUUGGGUCAAUAGUAUUAUUAAAACUUUCAAUGGGAAGUUUGGGUCAAUAUUAGUGACUAA